rnacentral:rRNA from 1 species
UACGUAGGGUGCGAGCGUUAAUCGGAAUUACUGGGUGUAAAGCGUGCGCAGGCGGUUUUUUAAGCCAGGUGUGAAAUCCCCGGGCUUAACCUGGGAAUGGCAUUUGGGACUGCAAGGCUUGAGUGCGGCAGAGGAGACUGGAAUUCCUGGUGUAGCAGUGAAAUGCGUAGAUAUCAGGAGGAACACCGAUGGCGAAGGCAGGUCUCUGGGCUGACACUGACGCUCAUGCACGAAAGCGUGGGGAGCAAACAGG